CCUCUUUGGUGAGUAGAGCCAUGUCUGUUUUAGCACCAGUCAUGAACAGUGUUAGGCUCACUCCUAACAUUUAUGGCAUUGAAAAGUAUCUCUGGUUCUUUCCUCUGUUUCCAUGCCCCUAUCCCGCCAACGUGAGAAAUCCUGAGAUUGUCAUAUUCUAAGGAGUACAGUGGGAUUCAACAAAUGCACUAGAGAUGACUUGCUAAGAAAGGAUGAAAUUACAGGGCCGGGAAAAAAACCACAACCCUACUGUUGGCUUCUGAUAAGCCAGUCAAGAGCAAUGUCAGGUGUCAGCCUGCAGCAGAUCCAGCUUCCUGGCAACCCAAAGGAGCACAGUUGGCCCUGAUGGAAGCUGUCUGAUUGACUGUGCUACCUGAUUGGCUGCCAAUUCCCGCAAGCUGAUAUUUAGACUCUGCAGUGGCGGCAGCAGCAGCAGUCCAUGCUCGGUGUCCAGGGCCGGCUCCAGGCACCAGCGAAGGAAGCAGGUGCCUGGGGCAGCCAAUAGAAAGGGGCAGCCCUCCAUCCGUCAUCGGGGCGGCACGUGCGGAUCUUUGGCGGCAAUUCGGCGGCGGGCCCGGCAGUCCCUCUCUCCCUCUUCAGCGGCACCUCAACCAGGGAAUGCUCACUAGACAGAAUGCAAUCAGUCUGGAUGGUCAGUUGGGAAGUGCCAUUAGGAAAACAGGUCUUUGAAGAUACUAAUCUCCCAUCGGGAAGUCUUCCUGGGGAUCAUGCAAACAGCCUCUGAGUUAUGGCAGCAGGGUCAUGUAACCAAGUCACCUGGUACAGGACUUCAUGAAAAUACUAGUAUUUUCCCACUAACCAGGGGUGGGAACCACCCUAGGAGACAAAGGAUUCCCGCCAUAUGCAAAAACUAUUUAAGGCAGGGGAGUGACAUUAUCGUGAUUUGUUCUUCACUAACUCCCUGCCCAAGAAAGAAGGCUGCUGGAAACACCUGAGAAACAAAGAGACUGAGCUGGGGGUGGGUGGGGAGGACUGAGCACAGGCUAGAAGGUAUCUGGCUUGUGAAAGGAAUAUCUGGAGUUUUAAGCUGCAAGCAAGUCUCUGCAAACUGCCUAAAACAUCAUUUAGGAUGAGAAUUUGCUAAUUGUAACCAAUUUCUUUAGUAUAUUAAUCUUAGAUUGUGUUUUGUUUUAUUUGCUGGGUAAUCUGCUUGGAUCUGUUUGCUAUCCCUUGUAAUCACUU